AGCCGCAAUUCUGUAAUGCGGGACCUCCCGGUUGGCUAACUUUCAAUGGAACGCAAUGAUUUUCUUUUUUUUUUUUUUGUCCAUCGUGGAAUGGCCGUGACGGAAAUUGGGUUUAUGCCAUUGCCAUUAUAUAUACUUGUCCGGCACGUAGGCAUUCUAUAUAAAAGCAUGUCGACCAUUGUUAAGUGUCAAAUUUUCAAAGAGUGCCUUCGCAAAAUCAAAGCUUUUGGUUUUCUUCGUUUUGCUGUACCGAAUUCCAAUUUUUCGAGUGUAUUCCAUAGCCACAAAGUUCAUCGUGAGAGCCGAUGAAGCAACAAGCAGGUCCGUCGCAACAGGCGAUAUAUCCGCCGAUCGUGUCAGGUUUCAUUCGCCGGAUAUGCAUUCGUGACUCUAUGGCUUAGAGCUGGAGUGCCUUUCUCUUUUUUACUACCCGCAUUUGAUACUCUCGCAGCCGUUAGACGUUCAACCCGUCCAUGGACGCACGAGGUUAUUUCGUUAUGCACGCUGGGUGUUCAACCGAAGCGACUCGCCACUUUAAUGAACCGUCCAAAGCCUUUGCUUGGCAAACAAAAAUGAUGCGCACGUAUUGCUUUGUUUGUGUAACGUGUCUGUAGUUCCAAAGCAGAAAAAAAAAUAUAUAUAAUAAAAUUGUGCUACGCAUCGA